AUAUUUUACUUUGUGCUAAGAGAUUUUUAUGAUUUUUUGCUUUUAUUUUAAAGCUUUUAGUGUGUUUCACAACUUUAGCUUAUUUAUGCUUUUAUUUUAAUUCGAUUAAUUAUUUUCUGAAUAAGCGGUAAUUUGGAACCUACUCGUUGGGCAGGUCAUAACUUGACUAUGGGAUGAGGUUUGGCGCGUUCUAAUAUGCGUUGGAAAGCUCAGAAGAUAGACUACAAGUUUUUCGUUGAAGCAAAAAGCUAAUUUGGAGUGCAGAAGGGUCAAAU
rnacentral:lncRNA from 1 species